GAUGAACGCUGGCGGCGCGCCUAACACAUGCAAGUCGAACGGUUAAGGCGCCUUCGGGCGCAUAUAAAGUGGCGAACGGCUGAGUAACACGUGGGCAACCUGCCCCUCGCACCGGGACAGCCUCGGGAAACCGUGGAUGAUACCGGAUACUCCGCCUCCCCCGCAUGGGGAGGGCGGGAAAGCCCAGACGGCGAGGGAUGGGCCCGCGGCCUGUUAGCUAGUUGGCGGGGCAGCGGCCCACCAAGGCGAUGAUGGGUAGCCGGGUUGAGAGACCGACCGGCCAGAUUGGGACUGAGACACGGCCCAGACUCCUACGGGAGGCAGCAGUGGGGAAUCUUGCACAAUGGGCGGAAGCCUGAUGCAGCGACGCCGCGUGCGGGACGAAGGCCUUCGGGCUGUAAACCGCUUUCAGCAGGGACGAGGCGAAAGUGACGGUACCUGCAGAAGAAGCCCCGGCUAACUACGUG
rnacentral:rRNA from 1 species